rnacentral:rRNA from 1 species
GAUGAACGCUGGCGGCGUGCCUAAUACAUGCCAGUCGAGCGAACAGACGAGGAGCUUGCUCCUCUGACGUUAGCGGCGGACGGGUGAGUACACGUGGAUAACCUACCUAUAAGACUGGGAUAACUUCGGGAAACCGGAGCUAAUACCGGAUAAUAUAUUGAACCGCAUGGUUCAAUAGUGAAAGACGGUUUUGCUGUCACUUAUAGAUGGAUCCGCGCCGCAUUAGCUAGUUGGUAAGGUAACGGCUUACCAAGGCAACGAUGCGUAGCCGACCUGAGAGGGUGAUCGGCCACACUGGAACUGAGACACGGUCCAGACUCCUACGGGAGGCAGCAGUAGGGAAUCUUCCGCAAUGGGCGAAAGCUUGACGGAGCAACGCCGCGUGAGUGAUGAAGGUCUUCGGAUCGUAAAACUCUGUUAUUAGGGAAGAACAAAUGUGUAAGUAACUAUGCACGUCUUGACGGUACCUAAUCAGAAAGCCACGGCUAACUACGUG